UCCUCGAUAGCUCAAUUGGCAGAGCAGCCGGCUGUUAACCGGCAGGUUCUUGGUUCGAGUCCAAGUCGGGGACCCUCUC
rnacentral:tRNA from 1 species